GCCGCAGACGGCGAAAACCAGAGGUGGUUACAGUCAAGUUUAGGGACUGCAGGAGCGAAUUCCCGAAGGCUUGCAGGAGCCGCCCGGCUCUGCCUCCAGCCUUUCUCUCUGGGCCUAGCGGGACUCUCCCAGGCAGGCCCCUCCCUGCCCGCGGGCGCACUUUCCCCGCCUGCAUCUGAGGCGUGGCGCAGCUGGGAGCAAAGCACAGGUGGGCUGGGCGCGGUUUGGGGUUCGGGCGUGGCAGAGUGGCGGCGGGGUCUGGGGAAGAGUUGUCUUGGGGGCAGCGCCAGCCACCAGAGCCCGAGUCAGCGCGGCCAGGACUCUGCAGGGGCAGGUAGCGACCCUUAGAGACGCAACGUGGCGCAGCGGACUCGGCUGCGUGGGGCAAGGGCCGGGGCCGGACACAGGAGCAGCGGGGAUGCCGGGUGCGCUCCGAGGGUGUGGCCCCCGGGCUGUGCGGGGCUCAGAGCUGCUUGCUGGGCGCGGUGCCCGACAAAGCUCCAUUUCUGGCCUUUGGUCUCUUUCUCGGAAAGCAGGCCUCAGUGGCCUCAGUUUCUUCCCAGAACCUGCAAUGCCCCACCAAGGUGACAAGAAGUGCAAGGAGUCGGUUUUCACUGCCAACCAAAGAGGUGACCCCCGCAAAGCAACCAUGUUGGGACAGUCCAUUUGCUGCGUUUUGAUUAUUUGCUAAGAGCAAAUACCUUUUCUGUUUGGGUUUUGCUUUUAGAAAAAAAAUGUGGCAGAUGGUGGUGGCUUUCCCCGUCAUUGAAAGAAGAAAGGUAGUAACUCUACUGGUGCACUCCUCUGAGUUGUGCUAACAAAGAAGAAUGCUGAAAGAAAAGGGAAAUGAACACCAUUUUCAGGCAGCUUCUCCAAGUUUUUUUGACAGUGUUAUAAUUUUCCUUUAGCGACUGUUGAAGCAAAUAUCUGUAUUUAUGUUCAGAUUAAACCGAGAGAGCAAAGACUGCUAAAGCCAGUAAUUUCUGGGCUGCAAAUGCAGGAUAGCUCCAGUGAAUUUCAGAUUCUUAAAGGUUUUUGCUGUAGCGAAUUCAUGACACAAAGCAUUUGGAGGGAAACCUAUUAGAGAAGAAACACAUCCUAAAUGAGAAUUACUGAGGACGGGAGGCUCUUGUCAUUUAUUGGAUUAGUUAUAGCACUUUACACAAGCCUGUAAUAUUUGUUCUGCUGCUGUGGUGUGACUGGUAAAAUGAAAAGGUAUGUCAAGGGAGUGCUUGACUGACGUUCUUAUUUCUUCCGUCUUCUUAUAUUGCUGGGAGGAUUCUACCACUGCAGGGCUAGAAAUUAAUAUCACACUCAUUUGAUAGGAAGAGCAAAAGCAAGGUUAUGAGUCAGAGACAUUUUGGUCCCAGAACAAUAACUCUAUUGAUUGAGUCAAAUAUGUUUAACUCCAACAGCAAGACCUUCCAUCUGCGUGAAAUAAUCAUGUCCGUUAAUUGUAAACAGGAGCAUCUUUGAAAGCUGAGCUAGAGGCGGAGCAACUGGUAAACCAGAUGUCCCAAAUUUCUAGGUUUGUACAUUGUAAUUGUUCUAGACUUGUGUGUGGAUAUUGGUAAAAUGACAUAGUCAGAUAUCUCACAGAUUUUGUGAGAUAUGUCCAAAGUUCCCAAGUUAAUUUAUUACUAAAGUUAGAAUUUCACUUACUGUGAGAUUGGAAUGCCAGCCAGCUACUGAACCUUAUGUGUGCCUAGGGGCCAUUUUGAGACAAUUUGCUGAAUAUUAAAAGUACAACCAAUAAUGUUUCUCUCCACAUCCACAAUAGCGCUUAGAGGAAGCAUCUGGGAUUGAGCCAUCUCACAUCUGUCUAAUCACAUUCAUUCAAAUGUGAUGGGCCCAACUGGCCUACGUACAUGGCUGCAUAUCACCAUGGGUGGAAAUUAAAUCAGAAUUUGGCUCAGGAGAGAGAUGAAGAGAAAAUGCACGUAGAUAAUUGGCUCAGAUAACAUUCUGUUUCUGGAAGUCACAAAGAGUGGAAAUUGGAAUAUGUAAAUUAAAGAAAAACAGUCCUUAAGAUCAAGUCCGCAAUGGAAGAAGAGCAUUCAUCUGGUACAGGUUGAUGAUUGUGUAAGCCCAAGGAGUGAUGUCAACACUGGGGUUCACCUGAGAACAUGGACAUGGUUGAUGAGGGUUUAGGAGAUGCUCAUACGAAGUCUUCAUAUGUUCCCUGGAUCCCAGCUCUGCCUUCCCACCAGAGAGGAUGUAAUUCAGCCGAGAUGCCCAGAGUCAGCUCUCUGCUCAUAUCUGUUCCGCACUGAAGCCAAUCAUCUGAGAAACCUAAGAAGUGUUUAAUGUAGUUAGGAAAGUGAGGGAUGAAGACCAUAAAUUCCUUUUCAUGUAGCAGAGUAUAUAUGUGAUACUCAUUCUGUGGUAUUUGGGGCAUAAACAAGAGUCGAUGAAGGAAUGUGAAAGUACUCGAAAUCCUGACUUUUAUCUCUAUAAAAAUGGCAUAGGGAUGAAACACACUUGGUUGUUAUGACUGUACUCUUUUCAGAUUUACUACUUGCCUUUCUACUGAUUUUUCUGUGCCACAGGUCUUGACUCCUGUAGGCUAAAUUUCUCAGCCUCUUCUGCUCACUGAUAUAUGGGAAGGUUUGGCCAAAGGUGGGUGACUGGUGGGGAGAAGGAUGAGGGAAUUCAGGGGAUUGCUGAGCCCAUUCUCUAGACAGUGCUGCUGGCACUGGCUCUGUCUUCUCCGUUUCCAUCUCGCAUCAGACGGUUCUUCCCUCUAUGGGCCUAGUCCUACCUAGACACUUUCCAGUUGGAUUCCAGUUCUGGGGAUGCUCCCUCCUGCAGGGAUCUAAGUCCUUCCCAUUGUCUUCGGCUCCUGGGCUCAGCUAGAACCAUCUUUUCCCAUUGUCCCUGUGGUGCUAGGGCUUUCAGUGGUUAUUAACGUCUGUGUUGUAUCAUCUUGCCUGAAUUUCAGCUCUCUGUAACCAGUUCCCCAAAUAAAAUUCCCCCCAUUUACCUACCUUCUGUGAGUCUGUUUGCCUGACAUGACCGUAUUAAGUAUACCCGAUAUAUUAGUGAGCUUCGGAUGAUAUCACAAUGUGCCGUAGACUGGGUGGCAUAAAAAACAAAGGAAUGUAUUUCUCAUUGUUCUGGAGCUGGGAAGUCCAAGAUAAAGGUGCUAGCCAAUUCUAUUUCUGAUGAGGGCUCUCUUCCUGGCUUGUGGAUGGCCACCUUGUCACUCUAU
rnacentral:lncRNA from 10 species